CUUCUGGGUCCCUUGCUGCAGCUUCUCCAUCAGCACGUGCUGCUUCACCUUGCACUGUGACAUCACAAAGGCAGCUUCUUCCCUUAAACCUCAUGAACCACUGUCCACCAGCUUCAGACUUCUCUCCUGCAGCUUCCUCGCCUCUCUCAGCCUUCCCAGAACUGAAGAGAGUCAGAACCUGGCUCUGAACUAGGCUUUGGCUUAAGAGAAUGUUGUGGUUCAUUUGAUCUUCUACCCAGACCACUCAGACUUUCUCCAUCUCAGCAAUGGUGUUAACACAAGCUGAACAAAAAAGAGCAAAUACAAAAUUCAGUCUAUUACCACUCUGCGUGAGGUGUUCCCAGGACUUGGGGACCAUCACACAGUAAACAGGUGAGAGCAAGUGCCAAUGGGAGUAAAUACUGUAUGUCUCUAAAUUUAAACCAAACACCUAUUAAGAGCUCUGCUUUGAUCUUUGUUGGAGGAAACACAAAGAUGCCGGACAGCCG